UCAUAUACAAGCCAUGCGAUUAUAUAUGAAGUACUACAAAAGCUUCGUCUUCUAAUAUACUUCGCACAUCUUGCAUUUCAUAAGUGAUUUGGGUGAAGAUACACGCAAGGGAUUUACCGAUCAUCUCUAUAGAGCUUUGGAGUUGGCAGGAAUUCACACGUUCAGAGAUGACGAUGAAAUUCAGAGAGGAGCAGAGAUAGCAGUAGAGCUGCAGAAGGCUAUCCAGGAAUCAUAUGUAUCACUAAUCGUGUUUUCCGAGGAUUAUGCUUCCUCAAGAUGGUGUUUGGACGAGCUUGCCAAGAUCAUGAAACGUAAUAGAGAUGAUGGACACAUGGUCUUGCCAGUUUUUUAUAAGGUGGAACCAUCCCAUGUUGGGAAGCAGACUGAAACUUUCGGAAAAGCCUUUGCCAAACUGGUUGAAGAGCGUUUCAAGGAUGAGAUUGGCAAGGUGGAAGAGUGGAGAAGAUCUCUGAGAGAUGUUUCCAAACUGAAAGGGAUGGUCUUAGGAGAGCAGUAUGAAGCACAGCUGAUUGAAAAUAUUGUUGAGGACAUUGGAGAUAAACUCGAAUCCAAAGUACUAAAUGUUGCUCCCCAUGCGAUUGGAAUAGAUGAUCGUGUGAAAGACAUAAACAAGUGGUUAAGAGAUGGAUCAACUGAUGUUGGUGUAGCUGGGAUUUAUGGAAUGGGUGGGAUUGGCAAAACCACCAUUGCAAAAGCUGCCUAUAACAUGAACUUCGCUAACUUUCAAGGAAGUAGCUUUCUUGCAGAUAUUAGAGCAACUUCCAAACACCCUAAUGGUUUGGUUCGCUUGCAAACGCAACUUUUAUCGGAUAUCCAGUAGCGGAAGCCAAAGAAGAUAUACAAUGUUGAUGAAGGAAAGAGCCGGAUCAAGCAAUUUGUACGUUCCAAAAGAGUUCUUAUUGUUCUUGAUGAUGUAGAGGAUUCAGACCAAUUUAGUGCAAUUCUUGAAAUGCGAGAAUCUUUUGGUCACGGAAGUAAGAUUAUCAUAACUACCAGAAAUCAACACUUACUAAUCACAAAUGGGAUUUCUGAAAUGUUCAUGGUUGAAAAGUUACAUGAGGAAGAAUCACUUGAGCUUUUCAGUUGGCAUGCUUUUAGACAAGCCCAUCCUAUCAAAAGCUACACGGAGCUUUCUACAGCUGCAGUACAACAUUGUGGAGGUCUUCCGUUAGCUAUUCAAGUUUUGGGGUCUUCUCUGUUUGGACUGGAUGUGAAUCUUUGGAAAGAGGCAAUUGCAAAAUUGGACGUGUUUCUUGAUGAAAAAGUUCAGGAAGUUCUAAGAGUAAGCUAUUAUGGUACUCGACUAGAUCCUCAUGACCAAAGUUUAUUCCUUCAUAUAGCAUGUUUUUUCAUAGGAAGGGAGAAAGAGUUUACAAUUACAGUACUGAGCAACCUUGAAUUUUAUACAAGAAUUGGAAUUCAAAAUCUAGUCAAUCGAUGUUUAGUUCAAGUUGAUCGUGACAGGUUAAUCAUGCAUCAAUUACUUAUUGACAUGGCAAGAGGAAUUGUUCGCGAAGAGUCGAAGGACCCUGGAGAACGUAGUAGAGUGUGGCAGAAGGAUGCAUCUGAUGUCUUGGAGAAAAUAUAUGGUACAAAAACUAUUGAGGGUCUCAUGCUCAACCUAAUCACUACGGAAACUACGCUUUCCAAGACUAUUUUCAAAAGUAAGAACAAACGAUAUCAUGCUGAAGAGUAUGAUGGGAAUUGUUCAAAAAGGCAUCGGCCUGGUUUCUUCUCAUGGAUAUCAAAUAACUUUUCCUCCAGAGAGUUAGAUUCAUAUAAGGCGAACUUUCUAGAGAUUACAAGGGCCACUCUCUAGGUGCUUUUGCCUCUAAUCUUGAAAUUCUUAGUUCAAUUUCAGCGGAGAUAAUGGCUAUUAUUAAAGCUAUUGAGCUUGCUUGGGUUCGUGAUUGGAAGCAUAUUUGGUUGGAAGUUGACUCAUCUUUGGUACUUGAUUAUAUUCGCAGACCUUCUCUUGUUCCUUGGCCUCUUCGAGUUCGUUGGUUGAAUUGCUUAUACCGAAUCUCUAAAAUGAAUUUCAAGG